rnacentral:sRNA from 1 species
GCAGAGGGCUGUAAGUGUGGUGGCCCAUCUGGGCUCUCGCCUGCAGGCAUUCUCCCCGGCCUUGUGUCGUCCAUUUAGUUGCGCACAGGAGGUGCUCCGCCGGACACCGCUGUAUGACUUCCACCUGGCCCACGGCGGGAAAAUGGUGGCGUUUGCGGGUUGGAGUCUGCCAGUGCAGUACCGGGACAGUCACACUGACUCGCACCUGCACACACGCCAGCACUGCUCGCUCUUUGACGUGUCUCAUAUGCUGCAGGUGAGCCAGGGGAGCACGCUGGCCGCCUGAUCAGGCCUUCCUCCCUGUUUACAGUGGUCCACUCCUUGGCUUUGUUUGCUGUGAACUGGAUUCCAAGGACAGCCUUCCCAGAAGAGCUAGAGGUCAUGGGGGUGUCAUGGAUAGGUCAAUGGCCCCAAGGAAAUGAGCUCAGAGGGUCUCAUCAUCUCAUCCUUCUAGCUUGCCCCCACUAAGUGGUGUGCCUUAAUGUCCCGGGUUUUCCAGGGCUGACACCCACUCUCAUGUAUUGGGCUGCGUGUUGGUUUGAAAAGGGGUUAUUUCAGGAAGGUGCUAGGUCCUGUCCAGUUCCCUGGCAGUGCCCCCACACAGAGUGACUGGGGGAGG